GAGCGAGGUCUUCGGGCCUAGCGGCGGACGGGUGAGUAACGCGUGGGAACGUGCCCUUUGCUACGGAAUAGUCCCGGGAAACUGGGUUUAAUACCGUAUGUGCCCUCCAUUUUGGUGAUGGUUGGGGAAAGAUUUAUCGGCAAAGGAUCGGCCCGCGUUGGAUUAGGUAGUUGGUGGGGUAAUGGCCUACCAAGCCGACGAUCCAUAGCUGGUUUGAGAGGAUGAUCAGCCACACUGGGACUGAGACACGGCCCAGACUCCUACGGGAGGCAGCAGUGGGGAAUCUUAGACAAUGGGGGCAACCCUGAUCUAGCCAUGCCGCGUGAGUGAUGAAGGCCCUAGGGUUGUAAAGCUCUUUCAGCUGGGAAGAUAAUGACGGUACCAGCAGAAGAAGCCCCGGCUAACUCCGUGCCAGCAGCCGCGGUAAUACGGAGGGGGCUAGCGUUGUUCGGAAUUACUGGGCGUAAAGCGCACGUAGGCGGACUGGAAAGUUGGGGGUGAAAUCCCGGGGCUCAACCUCGGAACUGCCUUCAAAACUAUCAGUCUGGAGUUCGAGAGAGGUGAGUGGAAUUCCGAGUGUAGAGGUGAAAUUCGUAGAUAUUCGGAGGAACACCAGUGGCGAAGGCGGCUCACUGGCUCGAUACUGACGCUGAGGUGC
rnacentral:rRNA from 1 species